AUUGAACGCUAGCGGGAUGCUUUACACAUGCAAGUCGAACGGAGGGGCGGACGGGUGAGUAAUAUAGCGGAAAGUGCCAAGUAGCGGGGGAUAACUACGCGAAAGAGUGGCUAAUACCGCAAACUAUUGGAGCGGCAGAUAUCGGAGUAGCUAGUUGGUGGGGUAAAGGCUCACCAAGGCAACGAUCCGUAGCGGGUUUGAGAGGACGACCAGCCACACUGGUACUGAGACACGGCCCAGACUCCUACGGGAGGCAGCAGUGUGGAAUUUUGGACAAUGGGGGAAACCCUGAUCCAGCCAUCCCGCGUGUAUGAUGAAGGCCUUCGGGUUGUAAAGUACUUUUGGCAGAGAAGCGGUAUCUGCAGAAUAAGCACCGGCUAACUACGUGCCAGCAGCCGCGGUAAUUC
rnacentral:rRNA from 1 species